AUUGAACGCUGGCGGCAGGCCUAACACAUGCAAGUCGAGCGUGCGGCGGACGGGUGAGUAAUGUAUGGGGACUGCCCGAUAGAGGGUGAUAACUACUGGAAACGGUGGCUAAUACCGCAUACUAUCGGAUAACCCAUAUGGGAUUAGCUAGUAGGUGGGGUAAAGGCUCACCUAGGCGACGAUCCCUAGCUGGUCUGAGAGGAGGAUCAGCCACACUGGGACUGAGAAACGGGCCAGACUCGUACGGAGGCAGCAGUGGGGAAUAUUGCACAAUGGGCGAAAGCCUGAUUCAGCCAUGCCGCGUGUGUGAAGAAGGCCUUAGGGUUGGAAAGUACUUUCAGCGUGGAGGCGGUACACGCAGAAGAAGCACCGGCUAACACCGUGCCAGCAGCAGCGGUAAUAC
rnacentral:rRNA from 1 species